GAUGAAGAACGUAGCGAAAUGCGAUAAGUAAUGUGAAUUGCAGAAUUCAGUGAAUCAUCGAAUCUUUGAACGCACAUUGAGCCCCUUGGUAUUCCGAGGGGCAUGCCUGUUCGAGCGUCAUUAUAACCCCUCAAGCUCAGCUUGGUGUUGGGGCCUGCUGCACUGGCAGCCCUUAAAAUCAGUGGCGGCGCCAUCUGGCUCUAAGCGUAGUAAUUCUUCUCGCUAUGGAGUCCUGGUGGAUGCUUGCCAUCAACCCCCAAUUUUUCUAUGGUUGACCUCGGAUCAGGUAGGGAUACCCGCUGAACUUAAGCAUAUCAAUAAGCGGAGGA
rnacentral:misc_RNA from 1 species